AACGAACGCUGGCGGCGCGCCUAAUACAUGCAAGUCGAGCGAGAAGACGUAGCAAUACGUUUGUAAAGCGGCGAACGGGUGAGGAAUGCAUGGGUAACCUACCCUCGAGUGGGGAAUAACUAGCCGAAAGGUUAGCUAAUACCGCGUACGCUCCUUGGACUUCGGUUCAGGGAGGAAAGCGAUACCGUGGGUAUCGCGCUCUUGGAUGGGCUCAUGUCCUAUCAGCUUGUUGGUGAGGUAACGGCUCACCAAGGCUUCGACGGGUAGCUGGUCUGAGAGGACGAUCACCCAGACUGGGACUGAGACACGGCCCAGACUCCUACGGGAGGCAGCAGUCGGGAAUUUUGCGCAAUGGACGAAAGUCUGACGCAGCAACGCCGCGUGAGGGAUGAC
rnacentral:rRNA from 1 species